rnacentral:lncRNA from 1 species
GCUGUUGCCGCUGUGGGGGAAAAAAAAAAAUGAUGCUGUCUUCUGUUGGUUACUUCAUAGCACUUCCAUUUUCAAAGAACAUCUUCCUGAGAAUAAACUUGGAAAGUAAUGUGACCACAAAACAUCAUAUUCACAGAGUUCAAAGGGAUAUUGGAUACAGAAUAAGAAAAUAUGAGAGAUUAAAACUCAGGAGUUGAGUUCUAGCCUGGAAAACAAGAUGAGAGAACUUUCCAGCCUGCACCAAUGUUCACAGUUCUGAUUGAAUUACAAAAUUUUUCUUCUUUUGAACUCAGAAGUCACUUGGAAACUUUGAGGGAAGUUUCACCACAUCCUUUAAGCCUUUCUUCUGGUUAGCAGGGGAGAUCCAUUAGAACUUAGAGAAAUAUCCCAGCCUCCAGUAUCAGUAGCCUUGCCAGCCUACCCCUAGGAUGCCUGGCCAGGCUUCAUUGUCAGUGUGGUUCACGGUCACAGUUUUACCUUCAGCUAGCCAUAUUUUCCUGGAUGGUCUUAAACUAUUUGCUGAGUUUGGGUUUUUUGUUUUGUCUUAUUGGAUUUUGUUUGUUUGGUUUGUUUGUUUGUUUUGCAGAGAGUUUUCAGACUUUCUGUUAGGUAAAUUUUAAAUUACCAUUAAGAAAUGCUUUCCAAGUUGUGCA